rnacentral:rRNA from 1 species
AUUGAACGCUGGCGGCAGGCUUAACACAUGCAAGUCGAGCGAGCGGCGGACGGGCGAGUAAUGUCUGGGAAACUGCCUGAUGGAGGGGGAUAACUACUGGAAACGGUAGCAAAUAGCGCAUACCAUCAGAUGUGCUCAGAUGGGAUUAGCUAGAAGGUGGGGGAAUGGCUCACCUCGGCGACGAUCCCUAGCUGGUCUGAGAGGUGGACCAGCCACACGGGGACUGAGACACGGUACAGACUCCUACGUGAGGCAGCAGGGGGGAAUGUUGCACAAUGGGCGCAAGCCUGAUGCAGCCAUGCCGCGUGUGUGAAGAAGGCCUUCGGGUGGGAAAGCUCUUUCAGCGAGGAGGCGUUACUCGCAGAGGAACCACCGGCUAACUCCGUGCCAGCAGCCGCGGUAAUUC